AAGGGAGAGAGGUAAAAAAGAGGAGCUCCAUCGUUUGUGAAUCCUCUCGAGCUUCUUCUCCACUGGGGGCGAAAUCGAAAGGAAGGAGACGAAUCGUGUGGAGCUGAGGAGCGAGAGAGAGAGAAAAGAGGGGAUUUGAGUGCGAAUGGGAGGGGAAAGGGACAUGGAGGAGGAGACGAGGAACCAGAUGAUGCAGAACCUCUUCGGAGAGCAAUCCGAGGAGGAGGAAGAGGAGGAGGAGGAAGAGGAGGUCGAUUCUGAGCACGAAGCCGCUGCAAACCACUCCGAUUACCAAUCGGAAGAAGGGGAAGGUGAGGCUGACAUUGAUGGUGAAGGGCAGGCGGAGGGGGAAGGGGAAGCAGCAGGUGAUGCGGAAGGUGAAGCGGAAGGUGAAGGUGAAAUUGAGGGGCAAGGCGAAGUUGAAGUGGAAAGUGAAGGUGAAGUACAUGAGAUUGAUGUUGACCAGGGAGAGAGUGAAGGGGAAAGGGUUCAGAGUUCACCAGAAAGGGAAAUUAGUGAUCAAAUGGUGGAGAGUGAAGCCAAAGAUGUUGAAAGUGAAGAGGAAGGCUAUGGGCAACGGGUAGUAACAAGUAGAAGAAGAGAGGUGGUUGCCUCUGAAUCAGAGGGAUCUGAAGAUAAGCACUAUGCCGAUCAAGAUAACGAGGAAGAUGCUGAUCAAGGAACACAAUCAAGGUACAUGGGGGACCAAAAAGACCACAAAGUUGUGCGUGACGUAUUUGGGGAUAGUGAUGAGGAUGAGCCUGCAGCAUAUGGCACUCAAAAUGAAAUUGACCAAGAUUCCCAUAGAUCUCCUUUGGAAGAGGUAGGUGGAUAUGAGAAAGAAUUGGGGCCUGAAGAUAUAGUGCCAGAUGAAGAUGCGCAGUUUGAAUGGGAAGAUGAAAAUCUUGAACGAAAACCGAAGGAGAAACCAGUUGGUCCCCCCUUGGAGUUGGAGGUUCCAUUGCAUCCUCCUCCAGGUCGACCUGAUAGAAUGAAUGUGAUCAAAGUAUCAAACAUUGUGGGAAUUGAACCGAAACCAUUUGACCGGAAGACGUUUGUAGAAGAGGAUGUUUUUGUGACUGAUGAAUCGGGGGCGAAGAAACGGAUACGCCUAGAGGACAACAUCGUACGUUGGAGAACUGUCAAGAAUCGUGAUGGCACAACUUCAUAUGAAAGCAAUGCGCGCUUUGUAAAAUGGAAAGAUGGAAGCUUACAAUUACUGAUCGGUAAUGAAGUUCUUGACAUAUCUGUGCAUGAGGGCCAUCAUGACCAAUCCCACCUAUUUCUUCGACAUGGGAAGGGUAUCUUGCAAUCUCAAGGCAGGCUUUUAAGGAAGAUGAGGUUUAUGCCAUCGUCUUUAUCCUCGAAAUCGCACCGGUUAUUAACUGCUCUUGUUGAUUCACGCCAUAAGAAAGUAUACAAGGUGAAAAACUGUAUUACAGAAAUUGAUCCGGAGAGAGAAAAGGAAGAAAGGGAAAGGGUGGAAGGGCAAACAAUCAGAGCCCAUGAACUUCUUCAGCGGAAAAGGGAGAAAGUCAACCGGAAAUAUGCACACACUGUCAAGAAAAAACGACAACUAUCACCAGGGUUUCUUGAGGAGGCACUGGAUGAGGAAGAUGAACCUGAAGAUUACUACCGUCGAGCUCCAGCUCGUAAUCGUUUUGAGGAGGAUUUGGAGGCUGAAGCGCAGGCUGAGAGACGCAUAAUUAAUGCUAAGUCCAAUAUGAGCAAAAAUGCUACUCGCAAGCCAUCUUUGCCUGCCGCUCGUCAACCAAGGCGUGAGGUUGAGCGAUAUUCAGAGAGCGAGAGGGAAGAAUCUGAGUAUGAAAGUGAUGGCGAGGAGGGUGACAGGUCUCCACUCAAUGCAAGGGAAGAAGAGUUAGAUAAUGAAGAUGAGUAUGAGGAAGAUGCUGAUGAAGAAGCAGCCGAAGCAAAUUAUGCAUCUGAAGAAGAUGAGGAGCCCAAAAGGAAGACCAAUGAAACAGGAAGUGGAGGUCUAAAGCGCAAGGAGAUUGACUCAGAUGCAGACUCUCCACCGAGAAAGCCACCCGUACAUCGUAGAACUGUCGUCUUUGAUAGCGACGAAGACUGAUUUUAGGUGCCAAACACAUUGUAUUCAAUUGCAAAGCAAUUAUAUUGUAGGUAUUGACAAUUGGAACUGUGAAGUUCGUGCGUUAUGUAUCGUGAGAAUCGAUGCGAAAGUGAGGCAUCUCAAGAACCGAUGCGGAAGUGAAGCAUAAAAAGAUUAUCAACAACAUUUUAAAUCGUGAUCUCCUCUAAUAUGUAAUAUGAAGAAAAUGAAGCCUUUAGUCCAUAUUGUGUGGCAUUGUCUUGCAUUUACUGAUAUUAUAUGCUAGAAACAUUUGUUUGGUGUCUUGAUGCCUCGAGGAUGUGGCCUCUGGAUCAUCAGCUGGUUCAGCAUGUUUUUGCCAGUUGAAGAAUAAUGUAGGCAUCUAAUUUAUUAUUGCUUGUGAUCUAGUUCUGGAUAAUGCAUAUGUUGGAACAUGCUGUAUAGAUCAGAUCCCGUAAAACUUUCGAAAGGAAUUUACCUUUUCAUCUGCCUAAUCAAAUAUGUGAAGUUUGAAGAGAACUUAAAA